GGAAACGUGCCCGAAAGCUAGGCAUCUCCUUGAUAGGGGGACCAAUAUGAGUUCAAACCUCAUCGCUUCCU
rnacentral:tRNA from 1 species